rnacentral:rRNA from 1 species
CGCGCAGUAAACGAUGAGCGCUAACUGUCCGGUCCGAACGGGGGCUGGGGGGUAAAGCGAAAGCGUUAAGCGCUCCACCUGGGGAGUACGCCGGCAACGGUGAAACUCAAAGGAAUUGACGGGGGCCCGCACAAGCGGAGGAACAUGUGGUUUAAUUCGAUGAUACGCGAGGGACCUUACCCGGGCUCAAACGGUGGCGGGAUUUCCGUGAAAGCGGGGAGCCGGCAACGGCCGCCACCGAGGUGC